rnacentral:rRNA from 1 species
CCUACGGGAGGCAGCAGUGGGGAAUUUUGGACAAUGGGCGCAAGCCUGAUCCAGCAAUGCCGCGUGAGUGAAGAAGGCCUUCGGGUUGUAAAGCUCUUUUGUCAGGGAAGAAACGGUGGGGGCUAAUAUCUCCUACUAAUGACGGUACCUGAAGAAUAAGCACCGGCUAACUACGUGCCAGCAGCCGCGGUAAUACGUAGGGUGCAAGCGUUAAUCGGAAUUACUGGGCGUAAAGCGUGCGCAGGCGGUUUUGUAAGUCUGUCGUGAAAGCCCCGGGCUCAACCUGGGAAUUGCGAUGGAGACUGCAAGGCUUGAAUCUGGCAGAGGGGGGUAGAAUUCCACGUGUAGCAGUGAAAUGCGUAGAGAUGUGGAGGAACACCGAUGGCGAAGGCAGCCCCCUGGGUCAAGGUUGACGCUCAUGCACGAAAGCGUGGGGAGCAAACAGGAUUAGAUACCCUGGUAGUCCACGCCCUAAACGAUGUCUACUAGUUGUCGGGUUUUAAUUAACUUGGUAACGCAGCUAACGCGUGAAGUAGACCGCCUGGGGAUACGGUGCAAGNUUAAAACUCAAAUGAAUUGACCGGU